rnacentral:piRNA from 1 species
UAUGGGUGACCUGCCAGUUCACAUU